AUUGAACGCUGGCGGCAGGCCUAACACAUGCAAGUCGAACGAGCGGCGGACGGGUGAGUAAUGUAUGGGAAACUGCCCGAUAGAGGGGGAUAACUACUGGAAACGGUGGCUAAUACCGCAUACCAUCGGAUGAACCCAUAUGGGAUUAGCUAGUAGGUGGGGUAACGGCUCACCUAGGCGACGAUCCCUAGCUGGUCUGAGAGGAUGACCAGCCACACUGGAACUGAGACACGGCCCAGACUCCUACGGGAGGCAGCAGUGGGGAAUAUUGCACAAUGGGCGCAAGCCUGAUGCAGCCAUGCCGCGUGUAUGAAGAAGGCCUUAGGGUUGUAAAGUACUUUCAGCGGGGAGGCGUUACCCGCAGAAGAAGCACCGGCUAACUCCGUGCCAGCAGCCGCGGUAAUUC
rnacentral:rRNA from 1 species